GAUGAACGCUGGCGGCGUGCUUAACACAUGCAAGUCGAACGGUGAACACGGAGCUUUCUCUGUGUGAUCAGUGGCGAACGGGUGAGUAACACGUGAGCAACCUCCCCCUGACUCUGUGAUAAGCGCUGGAAACGGCGUCUAAUACUGGAUAUGUGACGUUACCGCAUGUUCUUCGAUUGGAAAGAUUUUUCGGUUGGGGAUGGGCUCGCGGCCUAUCAGCUUGUUGGUGAGGUAAUGGCUCACCAAGGCGUCGACGGAUAGCCGGCCCGAGAGGGUGACCGGGCACCAUGGGACUGCGGGACGGCGCAGAAGCCUACGGGAGGCAGCAGUGGAGAAUAUUGCGCAAUGGGGGCAAGCCUGAUGCAGAAGUGCCGCGUGAGGGAUGACGGCCUUCGGGUUGUAAACCUCUUUUAGAAGGGAAGAAGCGAAAGUGACGGUACCUGAAGAAAAAGCGCCGGCUAACUACGUG
rnacentral:rRNA from 1 species